rnacentral:lncRNA from 1 species
GGGAAGCAGCCUGUAACUCUUAACUUUCAACUUAGCAUAUGCUUCUGCACCUCCCCUACCCCAAGUGAAACACGAUGGCUUGGGAAAUACCCAAGUGAAAUAGAGUUGGGUAUUUCCCUUUAACCAAGUCAUUUAGACUCUGAUAAAACUCUAGCAGGUUAUGCUCUGGUUAAAUAGUUUCUCCUUAUGCAGACUUUUUAAUGGAACAGAAUAUUCUGGUGCUUUUCAAAAUGGCUACAGUUCCGCUCCGCCUGACAGAAGCAUGAGAAGAUUUUUCUCUGAUAUUCACUGUGAGAACCUGGCCACGUUCCUGGAGGUAAAAUUUUUAAAAGUGUGGGAAACCCUACCAUCAUCACAGGCUUCCCUUGGAGUAUGUGACUCCCACACUUGUGCACACUGAGCAUCCAGCAAUUCAUUUCGGUUUCGGUUCUCCAGCCCCAGCGUUGGUUGAUGUGAAGGUUUCUGCUCACGGGUUUCUUCUCCAACUUCUCUGUCUAUAAAGCUAACUUCUGGGAGGCUGAGGCAGGUGGAUCACGAGGUCAGGAGAUCGAGACCAUCCUGGCUAACACGGUGAAACCCCGUCUCUACUAAAAAUACAAAAAAUUAGCUGGAUGUGGUGGCAGGCGCCUGUAGUCCCAGCUACUCAGGAGGCUGAGGCAGGAGAAUGGCGUGAACCCAGGAGGCAGAGGUUGCAGUGAGCCGAGAUCGUGCCACUGCACUCCAGCCUGGGCGACAGAGCGAGACUCCAUCUCAAAACAAAAAAAAACAAAAACAAAACAAAACAAAACAAAAAGCUAACUUCUUCUGGUCAGCUCAUUGGAAUACUUAUUCUAUUUUAGGGAAUGAAGUGUUUCUAGAUUCUGGAAUUGCAAUAAAGCCAGUUGAGAUUUUCAACUAAAUCUGUUGACUUUUUGUCUUUUCAUACAACCCACAUCCAUUAUCAAUGGUUUGGAAAUGGACACGUGAACCAGCAAAAACAGGCAGUCUUUUCCCUGAUUUUUAUUGGCACUAUUGGGAAUGAUGCCAGGCUCAUGUACUUCAAAACCCAUGAAACUACCAAGGGCCAUUGCCACCAGAAAGUGUAUGAGAACAAAGUUAAUCAGAGGCAAACAGAACAAAAGGUAGCUAGAGAGAGGCUUAGCAUCUUGAUGACAUACUUGGAAUAUUUCAGUCCAGCUUUUUAGAUUUAAGCUAUUAUAACUUAUGUUUAUAUCCGUUUAAAAAAAAAAUCUUAACUAAUUCACUCAGCAUGCCACCUCUCAUGGCCUAACAUGAAAGUGUAAUUCCUGAAAUAUUAGGAGACUACACAUGUUCUCCCCUUUCAAGUAUUUAUUGACCACCUGUCAUAUGACACAUAAUCUCCUAGUACCAGAAAUUCAUCAGUGAACGUAUCAGAGAAACAUCUCUGGAUUCAAGAGAUUGAUUGCUCUAGCUAAGAAUUUCAGUACUGUGUUGAUCAGUAGUGGUAAAAGUGGGCAUACUUGUCUUAUUCCAGAUCUUAGAAGACAGGCUUUCAGUUUUUCCCUAUUCAGUAUGAUACCAGCUGUGGGUCUGUCAUGUCAACUUUUAUGCUGUUGAGGUAUGUUCCUACUAUGCUCAGUUCUUUUAGAAUUUUUGAAAUGAAGGGAUGUUGAAUUUAUUAAAUGCUUUUUUAGCAUCAAUUGAAAUAGUCAUAUGGGUUUUUUUCCCUUCAUUUUGUUGAUAUGAUGUAUCACAUUGAUUGAUUUGCAUAUGUUGAACUAUCCUUGGAUGUCUGGGAUAAACCCCACUUGGUCAUAAUAAAUGAUAUUUUCAAUGUGUGGUUGAAUUUGGUUUGUUAGUAUUUUGUUGAGCA